AUUGAACGCUGGCGGCAUGCCUUACACAUGCAAGUCGAACGGCAGCACGGGUGCUUGCCCCUGGUGGCGAGUGGCGAACGGGUGAGUAAUACAUCGGAACAUGUCCUGUAGUGGGGGAUAGCCCGGCGAAAGCCGGAUUAAUACCGCAUACGAUCUACGGCUGAAAGCGGGGGACCUUCGGGCCUCGCGCUCUAGGGCUGGCCGAUGGCUGAUUAGCUAGUUGGUGGGGUAAAGGCCUACCAAGGCGACGAUCAGUAGCUGGUCUGAGAGGACGACCAGCCACACUGGGACUGAGACACGGCCCAGACUCCUACGGGAGGCAGCAGUGGGGAAUUUUGGACAAUGGGCGAAAGCCUGAUCCAGCAAUGCCGCGUGUGUGAAGAAGGCCUUCGGGUUGUAAAGCACUUUUGUCCGGAAAGAAAUCCUUGGCCCUAAUACGGUCGGGGGAUGACGGUACCGGAAGAAUAAGCACCGGCUAACUACGUG
rnacentral:rRNA from 1 species